GAUGAACGCUAGCGGGAGGCCUAACACAUGCAAGCCGAGCGGUAUUUGUCCUUCGGGACAGAGAGAGCGGCGUACGGGUGCGGAACACGUGUGCAACCUGCCUUUAUCUGGGGGAUAGCCUUUCGAAAGGAAGAUUAAUACCCCAUAAUAUAUCGAAUGGCAUCAUUCGAUAUUGAAAACUCCGGUGGAUAGAGAUGGGCACGCGCAAGAUUAGAUAGUUGGUGAGGUAACGGCUCACCAAGUCAGUGAUCUUUAGGGGGCCUGAGAGGGUGAUCCCCCACACUGGUACUGAGACACGGACCAGACUCCUACGGGAGGCAGCAGUGAGGAAUAUUGGACUAUGGGUGAGAGCCUGAUCCAGCCAUCCCGCGUGAAGGACUAAGGCCCUAUGGGUUGUAAACUUCUUUUAUACUGGGAUAAACCUACUUACGUGUAAGUAGCUGAAGGUACAGUAUGAAUAAGCACCGGCUAACUCCGUG
rnacentral:rRNA from 1 species